GGGCGCUAAGUUGCAGGGUAUAGACCCGAAACCCGGUGAUCUAGCCAUGGGCAGGUUGAAGGUUGGGUAACACUAACUGGAGGACCGAACCGACUAAUGUUGAAAAAUUAGCGGAUGACCUGUGGCUGGGGGUGAAAGGCCAAUCAAACCGGGAGAUAGCUGGUUCUCCCCGAAAGCUAUUUAGGUAGCGCCUCGUGAACUCAUCUCCGGGGGUAGAGCACUGUUUCGGCUAGGGGGCCAUCCCGGCUUACCAACCCGAUGCAAACUGCGAAUACCGGAGAAUGUUAUCACGGGAGACACACGGCGGGUGCUAACGUCCGUCGUGAAGAGGGAAACAACCCAGACCGCCAGCUAAGGUCCCAAAGUCAUGGUUAAGUGGGAAACGAUGUGGGAAGGCACAGACAGCCAGGAUGUUGGCUUAGAAGCAGCCAUCAUUUAAAGAAAGCGUAAUAGCUCACUGGUCGAGUCGGCCUGCGCGGAAGAUGUAACGGGGCUAAACCAUGCACCGAAGCUGCGGCAGCGACGCUUGCGUCGCUGGGUAGGGGAGCGUUCUGUAAGCCGCAGAAGGCGUGCUGUGAGGCAUGCUGGAGGUAUCAGAAGUGCGAAUGCUGACAUAAGUAACGAUAAAGCGGGUGAAAAGCCCGCUCGCCGGAAGACCAAGGGUUCCUGUCCAACGUUAAUCGGGGCAGGGUGAGUCGACCCCUAAGGCGAGGCCGAAAGGCGUAGUCGAUGGGAAGCAGGUUAAUAUUCCUGCACUUGGUGUUGCUGCGAAGGGGGGACGGAGAAGGCUAGGUUAUCCGGGCGACGGUUGUCCCGGUUUAAGCGUGCAGGUGUGA
rnacentral:rRNA from 1 species